AGCAGCCGCGGUAAUUCCAGCUCCAAUAGCGUAUAUUAAAGUUGCUGCAGUUAAAAAGCUCGUAGUUGAAUUUCGGGACCAUCAUGUCGGUCGUGCCUCGGUACGUACUGGCAUUGUUGGUUUCUACCUUCUGACGAACCAUGAUGUCAUUUAUUUGGUGUCGUGGGAAAUCAGGACUGUUACUUUGAAAAAUUAGAGUGUUUAAAGCAGGCUUUAGCUUGAAUACAUUAGCAUGGAAUAAUGAAAUAGGACGUUCGAACCUAUUUUGUUGGUUUCUAGGAUCAACGUAAUGAUUAAUAGGGAUAGUUGGGGCAUUAGUAUUCAAUUGUCAGAGGUGAAAUUCUUGGAUUUAUUGAAGACUAACUACUGCGAAAGCAUUUGCCAAGGAUGUUUUCAUUAAUACAAGACGAAAGUUAGGGGAUCGAAGACGAUCAGAUACCG
rnacentral:rRNA from 1 species